AUAGGCAGGGUGUGUAAGCGCUGUGAGGCGUUGAGCUAACCUGUACUAAUGGCCCGUGAGGCUUAACCAUACAACACCCAAGCGGUU
rnacentral:rRNA from 1 species